GGAAGUCCAUUCACUGUCAUUUGGCUUUGUUUCCCGAGCUUGGGUUAGGGUUUCCAGAUCCGUGCUCGGUGUGUCUCCGGCCUCUUGCUGCCCGUCAAUGUUGCAUCUUCCCCCUCUUUUUCUGGUGUCCUAUGGGUGAGUUCAUGUUUAUUCUUUGAGGUCCCGUUUUAUCUUGAUUUUGGAUAGUGUGUUCAGUGUGUUUGGGUACAUAACGAGGUUGGUUGUAUCGUUGAGCUCUAAGGUCAUGGGCUUUAGAGAGUGAAUUUAUUGGGGUGACGUAGCGAGGGUUGGGGUUUAAAUCAUGAGAGGGGGUAGGAUGGUAGAUUGUGGUGCUGGUAGAGUGGAGGAGGAGUAGGAGGAGAGCUUUGCAGUAUUUUUAUUUGAGGUUUAUGGGGGUGAUUAUUUUUAACGAUUUAGAAAUGGUUUGAGGUGUGAGUGUCUUUUGAUAAGCCGCGAGAAGUGAUACGUUGGGGAAAUUUACAUCUUUGUUACGAAAUUGAGAACGCAACGGCGGUUUGGGGGAUACGACUUGCGGUGGAUAUUGGCGCCAUUCCUGAGAAAUUUAGUCGUUUUUGUUAUCUCAUUGGUGUAUUCAAGCUUGGGAGCGUCUAGGAGCAGCCUUUCCAGUUCGUGCAACCACUUGGGAAUAUGAGUACAAGAAUUGACAGACCUGGAUGUGUCGAGCUGCUUUUCUGCUCAGUCACGGAGGCAUCUCCGUUGUAGUGUUAAGGGGAGGGAUUUUUGUGGCCAGAUUACGGAGGGAGGAUGUAUUAUAGAGCUGGCGGACGGAUUUAAUUUCAGCGAGUAGUGAUUAGGUAUCGUGUUUCGCUCUUGGGACUAUCACUUUGACGCCUUUGUAGAUGCGAUGUCUGUCCCUGAGUCUAAUGGCAGUACUUGUCUGUUUAAUUCAUGAGAUUCUGUUUUGGCCCAGUUGUGCAGAUUAGCCUAACCCCCAUGAUCCUAGGGUGGCUCAAAACAGGUCGCCACCACUGUGGCAUUGAGUUGAUCCUAUUCAAUAAUGGCAGGGGUAGGAGACGAGUAUGACAGCAGGAGAAAUUUUUAUCCUGAUCCUGGAAAUGCAUGGGAUGGUCAACCUUACGAUCCAGUGUCCCAGCAACAACCCAAUUGGUAUAGUUAUUAUCCGCCCCAACAGCUUGAUGACAGGGGGCAGGCUGGUCAAGAAGGGAUAGCAGUUCCUCCUUUACCCGCAAUGCCACCUCCGCAGGCACCUCUACCACCGGGUUUGACCACAACACCAACCUGGUCAGUAAGCGAUCAGGGGGUAGCAAAUGGCGGCAACAACACCACAUACACUGGCCACAGCAGUUACAGUCAUCUUCCGCAGCAGGGUCAAGAGUAUACCGGCUAUGGAACAAGUGAAAUACAGCAAGCUGUUAACUAUGCCCACCCUCAGACGGCGAAUGGCUCACAGCCAUAUGCACAAGGAUAUGCGGGGUACAAUUACAUGCCCGAUCAGAAUGCAUACAACCAUCAGGGAUACAAUAAUAAUUGUUUUCAGAAACAUGGAACGGAAUCAUAUACCCAGAAUGUAGGUGCUCCUUACGCUCCCCCCAACCAGUAUCAGCUCACGGAUGCAACUUUGUAUGCAAGCACCUCCAACUACUAUGAUCUCAACGGCUAUCAAAGUGCUGGCUCUCGGGGUGAGGGUGGACAAGGUCAGGCCUCCUGGAGUGAUCCCAAACAGGGGCAAUACAGUUAUACAAGUUACGCAGUGCAAAAUGUGGAUACCAACGCCGCCUAUGGUACUGCCAAACUUAAUCCGGAAGACAAUGUGCAAUUUGCACCAGACUAUUCGCAGCAGUGGGCUGAUUACUACGCGAGUUUGAAUGCCGUUCCACAAACUGACACUGAAAGUACAGUCGCUCUUCAAGCAGCUUCGAGCGCUCCUGCAGCCCCGACGCCUGCUCCAUCGUAUGCUAGUGUUGUUGCUGCUCCAGCUGCUCAGCAACCUCCACCUCCCGGUACAGCAGCACAUCAUUAUUCUUGGCAAGCCGCUGCAGCGUCGUAUGCUGUAUCUCAAUCCUCUCAGGAUUCCACAAUCGCUGAAGCUUCUGGUGCAGGAACUCCUUGGAAUGCUAAUGCUAACCUAACAUCUCAAACCCAUUGGAAUCCUAGUUCUAACCAGACUUCUCAGAGCGACCAUUUUAACCAAAGUCAAUUUCCACCUUUAGAUAAGCAUCCAAGGACACCUGUAAAUCAGCAUCAUCAACAGUCUCAGGUCACCCACAAUCUUCAGCAGCAGCAGCAAAGUAAAUCACCUAAGCUGCAUAUCGUGACCAAUCCGCGUAUUACAGCUACUAUCGGUAGUUUAGGGUCGGGUAAAGAAACACAUAAACCAGCUUAUAUAAGUGUUCCUGCUAAGAAAUCCUCUUCUAGUGUUUCUACAGAUGCUGUUGCUGAUGCCACGCUACAGGCUGAAAGUUUUCCGUCGUCGUUGCGGACUUAUGUGGAAAGAGCCCUGUCACGUUGCAAAGAUGAGUCGCAGAAAGCAACUUGUCAGGAGAUAAUGAAGGACAUGAUUACAAGGGCUUCUAAGGAUGGAACUUUGUUUACUAGAGAUUGGGAUACGGAGCCACUUUUUCAACUACCUGCUCCGUCAUCUUCAUCUGUUAAGAAGGAAACGGUACAACAUAAUAACUCAACUAAAAGCGAGUGGAGUCCUGCCAGGCGCUUGAAAACUCGUUGGGAACCUCCUGCUACGGUGAACUCGGAUGAUAAACCAGGACGAGUUCAUGGUUUUCACAACUCUUUCAGGGAAGGUGGUCAUGACUUGUCCAAAGAGGACAGCACGCAAUCCCAUUCCAAAUGGGAGAAGCGUGAGGAUUUAUGGAUUAAGAGUACCAUUGCAGGCAAUGAACACUUAAAGAAUAUGUCAAAAAGAGGCUUGAAAAGGCUUCGUAAAGGGAUUCUGUCACAGGGAGGUGAGAAUGGUUCCAGUGACAGUGAAGAGGAGCAUGCACACGGAGUUCAUCUUGGAUCUUUGUCAACGGCUGAUACUCCGGAAGAGAAGGAAAGACGGCAGAAUCGGUUUAAACGUUUUGAUCGAGGUAAGGAUUCAGGCAGAGGAGGGAAGGGAUCUGGACGAGGAGAGCGGGGACCAGCGGCGGGGAGUGCAAGUGCACGGAGAGCCACAGCUCUACAGUUAGCUCUAAAUUCAGGGGAUGGGCAAAAUGGACGUGCUGUAGAGGAUAUUGACUGGGAUUCUUUGACUAUACGAGGGACAUGCCAAGAGGUUGAGAAGCGGUAUCUCCGACUCACUUCUGCGCCAGACCCCAACACAGUUAGGCCGGAGGAUGUUUUGAAGAGAGCGUUAGAGAUGGUUAAAAGUACAACCAAGAGUUAUUUGUUCAGAUGUGAGCAGUUCAAGUCGAUACGGCAAGAUCUAACUGUACAGCGGAUUCGCAACGAAUUUACUGUCCAGGUAUAUGAGACGCAUGCUCGCAUGGCAUUGGAGGCUGGUGAUUUACCUGAAUACAACCAGUGUCAAACACAACUCAAGUCCCUUUACGGAGACGGCAUCAAGGGUUGUAGCAAUGAGUUUGCUGCUUACAGUUUGUUGUACAUUUUGUUCAACCGCGGCAAUAGCAGAGAUCUUUUGUCUGCUAUGGCGAAAUUGACAGAAGAAGGAAGGAAAGACGAGGUAGUAAAGCAUGCUCUGGAAGUACGUCAUGCAGUGGCAAUCGGCAACUACACGACUUUCUUUCGCUUGUAUAGAACAGCUCCAGUUCUGAGCCCUUGCUUGAUGGACAGUCACGCUGAGAAGAUGCGAUUUGAAGCUGUGAAAUUUAUGACACGCUCUUACCGUCCCACCAUUCCUGUUGCUUCUGUGGCGCGGGUUCUAGGCUUUAUUAUCGAACCAAAUUCAGAAGGAGAAAAUGAAGAGCUCGAGGAAUGCGAGGAGUGGUUGAGGGCCCAUGGUGCUUAUCUUCAAUUCGAUAGUACCAUAAGUGAGCUAGUUAUGGAAGCGAAGUUGAGUCAAACAAGCUUAUUCAUGCCUGAGCCUGAAGACGCGGUUCCCCAUGGAGAUGCAAAUCUUGCGCUUAAUGACUUCUUUUCUCGCUCUUAGAAUUCAUUGGUCCAAAUGUUAAGCAAUGUUUGACACAUUUGCAAACUCAUUAGGCAAAUUGACCUCUCAAGUUUGUUUGUUUGUUUUUUUUUCAGAAAGCUAUUGAUCCUGUAACAAGUACAUAACAGCUGUGGAGGCACAGUAGGGAGCAUGCUUGAACAGCUUGGUUUAACUCCAUACUAUUGUGCAGAAAACUGCAGAGACCUUUCCCUACUAAAGUUUUUCAUUGUGACCCGUCAUAUAGGGUCGCACGAGGAUGAAGUAUAUAUCAUGGGUAUGUAAAGUCAAACGACUGUCAUACCAUCUCAAUUGAAGAAACAUUACUUGUGAUUCAAGGACAAGGCAACUUGAAGAAAUAUGGUAAGUGUUGGUGGCUUCUUGUGCAACAAGUAUAGGAAAAAGUGAUUUUAGGGCAAGUCGGACAAUAUUGUAAAAUGUACGAAGAAUAUUGGAUAGUACGAUGAUGCUUUUGUACGCACUUUUCCCAUUA